rnacentral:rRNA from 1 species
CCUGACUGYUAUCGGAUUGAUACUAAGCCAUGCGAGUCAUUGUAGUAAUACAAGGCAGACGGCUCAGUAACGCGUAGUCAACCUACCCUAUGGACGGGAAUAACCUCGGGAAACUGAGUAUAAUGCCCGAUAGAACACAAUGCCUGGAACGGUUUGUGUUCCAAAUGAUUUAUCGCCGUAGGAUGGGACUGCGGCCUAUCAGUUUGUUGGUGAGGUAAUGGCCCACCAAGACUAUUACAGGUACGGGCUCUGAGAGGAGUAGCCCGGAGAUGGGUACUGAGACACGGACCCAGGCCCUAUGGGGCGCAGCAGGCGAGAAAACUUUGCAAUGUGCGAAAGCACGACAAGGUUAAUCCGAGUGGUUUCUGCUAAAGAAACCUUUUGACAGUCCUAAAAACACUGUUGAAUAAGGGGUGGGCAAGUUCUGGUGUCAGCCGCCGCGGUAAAACCAGCACCUCAAGUGGUCAGGAUGAUUAUUGGGCCUAAAGCAUCCGUAKCCGGCUCUGUUAGUUUUCGGUUAAAUCUGUACGCUCAACGUACAGGCUGCCGGAAAUACUGCAGAGCUAGGGAGUGGGAGAGGUAGACGGUACUCGGUAGGAAGGGGUAAAAUCCUUUGAUCUAUCGAUGACCACCUGUGGCGAAGGCGGUCUACCAGAACACGUCCGACGGYGAGGGAUGAAAGCUGGGGGAGCAAACCGGAUUAGAUACCCGGGUAGUCCCAGCUGUAAACUAUGCAAACCCAGUGAUGCGUUGGCUUGUGGCCAAUGCAGUGCUGCAGGGCAAGCCGUUAAGUUUGCCGCCUGGGAAGUACGUACGCAAGUAUGAAACUUAAAGGAAUUGCCGGGGGAGCACSACAAGGGUGAAGCCUGCGGUC